GAACAGAAGUGUUAUUGGACAACAUUGCCCCACUUCCAGGAGAGGAUCGGUUCUCCGCGGAGGCCAAUUCUGCACUGGAAGAGAUGACGAGAGGAGUUCCAUUGCUGGCACAAGUCACCAACUACGACAAUAAUACAGGACUUCCUUUAGUACACAUGUGGAACAUGGUGGGAGAGGAGCUGGUCCUGCUCAACCGCACUUUGGCAGAGCGAGGUUAUGGCACUUGGGUGGACAGUUUCUGAUCCUCCAGAGCUCCCUCGCCCUCCUCUCCUAACUCACCUCGUGGCCCACCUGCCCCUUAAUUAUCACCACUCAUCAUGAAUAUCUGCAGGUUCUGUCCUCCUCACCCCAUCGUGUCCUCCACCACCUUCUACCUGAAGUGCGCAUCACUGGCUCCGGGAGUUUCUUUUUU